rnacentral:rRNA from 1 species
CUGCGGGAGGCAGCAGUAGGGAAUUUUCGUCAAUGGCGCAGCCUGAACGAGCAAUGCCGCGUGAGUGAGAAGUCUUCGGAUCGUAAAGCUCUGUGUAAGGGAAAAAGGGAUAUAAGAGGAAAUGCUUAUAUUUUGAUGGUACCUUACCAGAAAGUCACGGCUAACUACGUGCCAGCAGCCGCGGUAAUACGUAGGUGGCGAGCGUUAUCCGGAAUGAUUGGGCGUAAAGGGUGCGCAGGCGGCAUGUCAAGUCUGAAGUGAAAGGUACCAGCUUAACUGGUACAGGCUUUGGAAACUGGCAUGCUAGAGGACAGGAGAGGGCGGUGGAACUCCAUGUGUAGCGGUAAAAUGCGUAGAUAUAUGGAAGAACACCAGUGGCGAAGGCGGCCGCCUGGACUGUUGCUGACGCUCAGGCACGAAAGCGUGGGGAGCAAAUAGGAUUAGAUACCCUAGUAGUCCACGCCCUAAACGAUGAGGAGCAGGUGUCGGGGGUAGAGCCCCGGUGCCGAAGCCAACGCAGUGACUCCUCCGCCUGGGGAGUAUGCACGCAAGUGUGAAACUCAAAGGAAUUGACGGGGGCCCGCACAAGCGGUGGAGUAUGUGGUUUAAUUCGAAGCAACGCGAAGAACCUUACCAGGCCUUGACAUGGGAUGCGAAGGUGCAGAGAUGCGCUGGAGGUUAUCAUCCACACAGGUGGUGCAUGGUUGUCGUCAGCUCGUGUCGUGAGAUGUUCAGUUAAGUCUGGCAACGAGCGCAACCCUCGUGAUAUGUUGCUAACAUUCAGUUGAGGACUCAUAUCAGACUGCCGGUACAAACCGGAGGAAGGUGGGGAUGACGUCAAAUCAUCAUGCCCCUUAUGGCCUGGGCUACACACGUACUACAAUGGCAUCUACGAAGGGAAGCGAACCUGUGAAGGGAAGCGAACCCCACAAAAGAUGUCCCAGUUCGGAUUGAAGUCUGCAACCCGGCUUCAUGAAGUUGGAAUCGCUAGUAAUCGCAGAUCAGCAUGCUGCGGUGAAUACGUUCCCGGGCCUUGUACACACCGCCCGUCAAACCAUGGAAGCCGGCAACGCCCGAAGCCGAUGGCAUAACCCGCAAGGGAGUGAGUCGU